rnacentral:rRNA from 1 species
UACGUAGGGUCCGAGCGUUGUCCGGAAUUACUGGGCGUAAAGAGCUCGUAGGCGGUGUGUCGCGUCGGCCGUGAAAACCUGCAGCUUAACUGUGGGCGUGCGGUCGAUACGGGCAUCACUGGAGUUCGGCAGGGGAGACUGGAAUUCCUGGUGUAGCGGUGAAAUGCGCAGAUAUCAGGAGGAACACCGGUGGCGAAGGCGGGUCUCUGGGCCGAUACUGACGCUGAGGAGCGAAAGCGUGGGGAGCAAACAGG